rnacentral:tRNA from 1 species
CGGAGUGUGGCGCAGCUCGGUAGCGCACUUGCAUGGGGUGCAAGGGGUCGCAGGUUCAAAUCCUGUCAUUCCGACCA